rnacentral:rRNA from 1 species
UACGAACCGUGCGAACGUUGUUCGGAAUCACUGGGCUUAAAGGGCGCGUAGGCGGCAAAUCAAGUCCGGGGUGAAAGCCCUCAGCUCAACUGGGGAAGUGCCUUGGAUACUGGUUUGCUGGAGGGAGGUAGGGGUCGAGGGAACUUCUGGUGGAGCGGUGAAAUGCGUUGAUAUCAGAAGGAACGCCGGUGGCGAAAGCGCUCGACUGGACCUCUUCUGACGCUGAGGCGCGAAAGCUAGGGGAG